rnacentral:rRNA from 1 species
AUUGAACGCUGGCGGCAGGCCUAACACAUGCAAGUCGAGCGAGCGGCGGACGGGUGAGUAAUGCCUGGGAAUUGCCCAGUCGAGGGGGAUAACAGUUGGAAACGACUGCUAAUACCGCAUACGAUUUGAUUGCCCAUGGGGGAUUAGCUAGUUGGUGAGGUAAUGGCUCACCAAGGCGACGAUCCAUAGCUGGUCUGAGAGGAUGACCAGCCAAACUGGAACUGAGACACGGUCCAGACUCCGACGGUAGGAAGCAGUGGGGAAUAUCUCACAAUGGGGGAAACCCGGAUGCAGCCACGCCGCGUGGGUGAAGAAGGCCUUCGGGUUGUAAAGCACUUUCAGCGAGGAGGCGUUACUCGCAGAAGAAGCACCGGCUAACUCCGUGCCAGCAGCCGCGGUAAUAC